rnacentral:tRNA from 1 species
UGAGGUGUAGUUCAGUUGGCAGAACAGACGGCUGUUAACCGUCAUGUCGGAGGUUCGAAUCCUCCCACCUCAGCCA